rnacentral:rRNA from 1 species
AGCGAACGCUGGCGGCAGGCUUAACACAUGCGAGUCGAGCGGGCACUUCGGUGUCAGCGGCAGACGGGUGAGGAACACGUGGGAACGUACCCUUCGGUUCGGAAUAACGCUGGGAAACUAGCGCUAAUACCGGAUACGCCCUUUUGGGGAAAGGUUUACUGCCGAAGGAUCGGCCCGCGUCUGAUUAGCUAGUUGGUGGGGUAAUGGCCUACCAAGGCGACGAUCAGUAGCUGGUCUGAGAGGAUGAUCAGCCACACUGGGACUGAGACCCGGCCCAGACUCCUACGGGAGGCAGCAGUGGGGAAUAUUGGACAAUGGGCGCAAGCCUGAUCCAGCCAUGCCGCGUGAGUGAUGAAGGCCUUAGGGUUGUAAAGCUCUUUUGUCCGGGACGAUAAUGACGGUACCGGAAGAAUAAGCCCCGGCUAACUUCGUG